GUUCUGCUCUGGAAAGCCCAUUGCACCACUCUCCUUUUCCUAUCAGCUUCUCAUUUGCAGUGCAGAAAAAGGAAGUGUUCUAAGCACACAAGCCCUAGUAUUUCAGGCAGAGACAUCACUUCUGUUUCCAGAGCAGUUUGUCAAAGGGUCUGAAGUAUUUCUGUGGCUCACACAGGUGCUCCAAGGUACAACAUUGUUCCUCUGCAA
rnacentral:lncRNA from 12 species